GUUCAAGGAGACCUGACAGCAGGCUCACAGGACUCAUCCCAACCCUGACAACAGAAAGUCAUAGACCACAGUAUGAGUUAAAAAAGGAAAUAUUGGGCACUGAGCAGCAACGUACAAUGUCAUCUGGACGGCACGGAUUAACUAUAUCACAGAGACAAGAAAGGAGCCAGAUUCGAAAGCCAAGCUGUCUAGGAAGUAAUCUUCAGAAGAAGCUGUUAAAACAGAACACUUUCUGCUAUCUGCCAGAGCCACCCUGUGAGUGGCCAACUCUUGGAGUCAAGUCAUCUUGCCAGGUUAGACGCAGAUAUCGCUAUCAUGUCUGGCUCAGUGUUCAUUCUCAAUAUGCUCUGUACAAGAUGACCUGUGCACAACUAGAUGGAAGUCCCUGUGAUUUCACCCCUGCUUCAGGCUGUGAAGAUGAGAAAGGAAACCAGUAGCCUUUCCAGAUGUGAGAAGAGCCUUGCCACAAGAUGCUUGGAGGGAUGAAUGACCAGUGUGCAGAACACCCAGAUGCUGUCCUGGCCCCAUGGGUACUCAGCAGGUACUUCCCAGACCACUCAACGUAAGCUAUGCAUUCUUGCGAAGCACGAUUUCUCCAGACUAUGACAUUCCUGAACCACAGAACAGAAGCACUGGCUCCUGAGCACAGGGCUUCUCUUUCCACUUUAAAUUCUACUCAGAACCUCACCAUGUUUGUGUUACUAGAAGAGAAUCUGAGAAUCAUACUUUGGGGUUAUAAAGGGUCUACUAAUCAUGUUUAGGCAUUGAAGUCCCAUAAGGUAGAAUUUAGCUAAAGUGACAAUCCAUGUUCUCUGAUCAGGAAGUGCAUAAUUCUUGGCUAAUAGUUACUUUGGGAAAAAAACAGCCCUGGUCUGCUUCAAGGUGCUUAUGAUAAUAGUUUACAUGGUAAAUCUCCACAUUUGUUCAAACAAUCAUUCCUUGGAGUUUCGGCCUCUGUUAAACAUGCUUCUUGAUCAGAGUAUAAGCUGGAACCAUAACACUAUAUAACCUGAUGGGAUGUCUGAUCAGUGCUGCCUCCCUUUUCUGCAUUA